UACAGAGGGUGCGAGCGUUGUCCGGAAUCACUGGGCGUAAAGGGCGCGUAGGCGGCUUUUCAAGCGUGCGGUGAAAGCUCGGGGCUUAACUCCGAGUCUGCCGUGCGAACUGGGAGGCUUGAGUCUGGUAGAGGUCGAUGGAAUUCCGGGUGUAGCGGUGGAAUGCGUAGAGACCCGGAAGAACACCGGUGGCGAAGGCGGUCGACUGGGCCAGUACUGACGCUGAGGCGCGAAAGCGUGGGGAGCGAACAGG
rnacentral:rRNA from 1 species